rnacentral:snoRNA from 1 species
AAGCCAUGAUUUGGAGAUCUCACUAAGUAUAAUUUAAACCGAUCCCAUGCCUCAUGUAAGUGCUCUCCAGCUGCCUGCUUGAAGAAGAAAAUCUUAUCUCGUAGCUC